CCUACGGGAGGCAGCAGUGGGGAAUAUUGGGCAAUGGGCGCAAGCCUGACCCAGCAACGCCGCGUGAAGGAAGAAGGCUUUCGGGUUGUAAACUUCUUUUCUCAGGGACGAAGCAAGUGACGGUACCUGAGGAAUAAGCCACGGCUAACUACGUGCCAGCAGCCGCGGUAAUACGUAGGUGGCAAGCGUUAUCCGGAUUUACUGGGUGUAAAGGGCGUGUAGGCGGGAUCGCAAGUCAGAUGUGAAAACUGGAGGCUCAACCUCCAGCCUGCAUUUGAAACUGUGGUUCUUGAGUACUGGAGAGGCAGACGGAAUUCCUAGUGUAGCGGUGAAAUGCGUAGAUAUUAGGAGGAACACCAGUGGCGAAGGCGGUCUGCUGGACAGCAACUGACGCUGAGGCGCGAAAGCGUGGGGAGCAAACAGG
rnacentral:rRNA from 1 species